rnacentral:rRNA from 1 species
AACGAACGCUGGCGGCAUGCCUAACACAUGCAAGUCGAACGAGACCUUCGGGUCUAGUGGCGCACGGGUGCGUAACGCGUGGGAACCUGCCCUUAGGUUCGGAAUAACUCCCCGAAAGGGGUGCUAAUACCGGAUAAUGUCUUCGGACCAAAGAUUUAUCGCCUUUGGACGGGCCCGCGUUGGAUUAGCUAGUUGGUAGGGUAAAAGCCUACCAAGGCGACGAUCCAUAGCUGGUCUGAGAGGAUGAUCAGCCACACUGGGACUGAGACACGGCCCAGACUCCUACGGGAGGCAGCAGUGGGGAAUAUUGAACAAUGGGCGAAAGCCUGAUCCAGCAAUGCCGCGUGAGUGAUGAAGGCCUUAGGGUUGUAAAGCUCUUUUACCCGGGAUGAUAAUGACAGUACCGGGAGAAUAAGCUCCGGCGAACUCCGU